rnacentral:rRNA from 1 species
UGGGGAAUAUUGGACAAUGGGGGCAACCCUGAUCCAGCCAUGCCGCGUGAGUGAUGAAGGCCUUAGGGUUGUAAAGCUCUUUCGGCGGGGACGAUAAUGACGGUACCCGCAGAAGAAGCCCCGGCUAACUUCGUGCCAGCAGCCGCGGUAAUACGAAGGGGGCUAGCGUUGCUCGGAAUCACUGGGCGUAAAGCGCACGUAGGCGGAUCUUUAAGUCAGGGGUGAAAUCCCAAGGCUCAACCUUGGAACUGCCUUUGAUACUGGGGAUCUCGAGUCCGGAAGAGGUUGGUGGAACUCCGAGUGUAGAGGUGAAAUUCGUAGAUAUUCGGAAGAACACCAGUGGCGAAGGCGGCCAACUGGUCCGGUACUGACGCUGAGGUGCGAAAGCGUGGGGAGCAAACA